AAAAUUAACUAACUAGUUUUUAUAGAAGUAAAGUUGGUUUUAUAUUUGCACAUUCGCACUUACGCUCCCCUAAUAAAAUAUUAGAAAACUAUUGUUUGCAAAUUCCAAAUAGCGAAAUCACACUAGCAGACAACUAUUAUCAAACUACAACAGCGUUCAUGGUCAAAGAAAUCAUGCUAGUGUUGUUUGAAGUGUUACUUACAUGCGAUUUCAGACCGAAUAUUCAAUAUCGCGUGAAAAACAACAAAGGGACCGAGUCAAAAGUUCUCAGGUUGUUGAAAAACGAACAAAAGGAAUUCAGCCAAUUACUAUAACGGUUUUGAAAUCAUGGCCUGUGCACAUCAACAUCUGUGGACCCUGCAGAACAUGCAUGCAACCUGUGCCCUGCUGUUUUCCUUACCUCUGUCUUACCCAUUGUCUUAACUAAAUAUUGUAACACUGUCAUUUCUGUUUUUUCUGUUUAUGACAUGUUGUUGUACAUUAAACUAUCAUUAUAUCAUAAA